AGGUUCCUACGGGAGGGCAGCAGUGGGGAAUAUUGCACAAUGGGGGAAACCCUGAUGCAGCGAUGCCGCGUGGAGGAAGAAGGUUUUCGGAUUGUAAACUCCUUUUAUCAGGGACGAUAAUGACGGUACCUGAAGAAAAAGCUCCGGCUAACUACGUGCCAGCGGCCGCGGUAAUACGUAGGGAGAGAGCGUUGUCCGGAAUUACUGGGUGUAAAGGGAGCGUAGGCGGGACGGCAAGUCAGAUGUGAAAACUGAGGGCUCAACUUUCAGACGGCAUUUGAAACUGCUGUUCUUGAGGGAAGUAG
rnacentral:rRNA from 1 species